CUUUACCCAGGAUGCCAAGCAAAUGGUCGAGUAUGUAUGUAUAACUUAUAUGUUUUUAUUAUUACAUGCUUCCAAUUACUAAUUUAAUAUGAUUAAGGCUUUCUUCUUAAGUUGUUCUUUUCUAACUGUGUUCCCAAUGGACACAUUGCUGUGAAUGUAUCUGGAACUACACAAGUAGAAAGGCCAGAGUAUUUUGACCAAAACCUGGUAGGUGGCAAUAAGCAAAGUUGCCUCAGUUUUGUUACCUUUAUUAACAGGCAGAAGCAAUACUUGCUAAAAGCAGAUACCUUACUGGUAACACCCUAACAGAUGCAGAUGUGCGGUUAUUUGCAACAUUGGUCAGAUUCGAUACAAUUUAUCAUGGCUUAUUUAAGUGCAACAAGAAAAGGAUAAUGGACUACCCAAAUUUAUGGGACUAUGCACGAGACAUUUACCAACAUGAUGGUAUUGGCAAAUCCACAGUAGAUAUGGAAUAUUCUAAAAUUUCGUAUAUGAAAGGUAUGCUGCAUAUAAAUCCACAUGGAAUUGUUUCAGCUGGUCCACAUGUUGAUUUUGACAUUCCACAUGACAGAAAGAAAACUUUCCCUGGAUAGAGGGAAUAUUGCUUCACAAGCUGCGCAACAACAGAUGCCAUAAAAAGUGCUUUUAAAAUUCUCUAGCAGACCAUAAUGCUUAACGUACACAUUACUACAAUUUUUAUGCAGAAAUUUUUAACACCACAUAUGCAGAAACGCUUUAAUUAUUUUUAAUAAGUAAGAAAUAUAUAAUUUGCAAAGUCUGACCUAAAUGGUACUGAAAAUCAAUGGUAUUUAAAAAUUUUGAAGUCAGAGUCAGAGCUGAAAAAAAAAUUCUUUUUAAA